CCUCUUGUUCCUACAAAAAUCUUUCUUCUUCAUUUGAUCCACCUUUCUCGUAGUAAUGAAAUUAUUCUCCUGAGAUUGCAUUAGUAUGCAAAGCAUUAUCAAAAUCAAAAUCAAAAUCAAGAAUUUGAAAAAGAGGUUAUGAUUAAUUUGUUUUGUGUCUCGACAUCGUAUCUUAAAAACUCUGAUAAAAUAGUUUUUUUUUUCUUGGUUUGGGUUAUGUCCAGUUUGGUUCGAAGCAAAGCCUAAGAAUCGGAUUUGAAGGGGUUUUUUGAGUUAAAAAAAAUAGUUUAGGGUUUAAAAGGAAUAGG
rnacentral:lncRNA from 1 species